ensembl:miRNA cja-mir-548t cja-mir-548t
GUAUUAGGUUGGUGCAAAGGUAAUUGCUGUUUUUGCAUUACUUUUAAAAAGUGGCAAAACCGGCAAUUACUUUUGCACUAACCUAAUAU